rnacentral:rRNA from 1 species
UACGGAGGGUGCAAGCGUUAUCCGGCUUCACUGGGCGUAAAGCGUGCGCAGGCGGUUUUGCAAGCCGGAUGUGAAAUCCCCGGGCUUAACCUGGGAAUGGCAUUUGGGACUGCAAGGCUGGAGUGCGGCAGAGGAGACUGGAAUUCCUGGUGUAGCAGUGAAAUGCGUAGAUAUCAGGAGGAACACCGAUGGCGAAGGCAGGUCUCUGGGCUGACACUGACGCUCAUGCACGAAAGCGUGGGGAGCAAACAGG